rnacentral:sRNA from 1 species
GCGAUGGCGGGUUCGCCGGGUGUGAAGCUUCACAGCGGUCCGGUGACCAAGUCGAGAUGGUGAGAACAAGACCAAGAUUGGAAAGCCAGCUUCAGAGGAGGGAAUUACAGCAAAAAUUGAACCAUUGACAGAAGAGUCUAGCAGUCUCAGAGAGAAUGUUCUCCAGGAUUCUGAAGGCAGAGAAUUCUGUGAAUUUGGGGAUAAAUUAAAUGAAAAAGAUCAGAACGUCUUUAAAAGGAGACCUCAUAACUGUGAUGAAUAUGGGCAAAGCUUUGUUUGGAAUACAGGCCUUUUUAGGCAUCGAAAAACCCACUGUGAGAAACCUUAUGAAUGUGAUAAGUGUGGAAAGGCCUUUAGUGUGAGCUCAGCCCUGGUUCUGCAUCAGAGAAUUCACACUGGGGAGAAACCUUAUUCCUGUAAUUGGUGUAUUAAAAGUUUCAGUCGGAGCUCAGACCUUAUUAAACACCAAAGAGUCCACACUGGUGAAAAACCUUAUAAAUGUGAUGAGUGUGGGAAAGCCUUCAGUCAGAGCUCAGAUCUUAUUAUACAUCAGAGAAUCCAUACAGGAGAAAAACCCUAUCAAUGCAGUCAUUGUAGUAAAAGUUUUAGCCAGCGCUCAGAUCUGGUUAAACAUCAGAGAAUCCAUACUGGAGAGAAGCCUUAUACUUGUAACCAGUGUAACAAACAUUUUAGUCAGAGUUCUGAUGUGAUAAAACAUCAAAGAAUCCACACUGGGGAGAAACCAUAUAAAUGUGAUGUGUGUGCGAAAGCCUUCAGUCAGAGCUCAGAUCUUAUUCUGCAUCAGAGAAUUCACAGUGGGGAGAAACCAUAUCCAUGUAAUCAGUGUAGCAAAAGUUUCAGUCAGAAUUCAGACCUUAUUAAACAUCGAAGGAUCCACACUGGAGAGAAACCCUAUAAAUGUAAUGAAUGUGGGAAAGCUUUUAAUCAGAGCUCAGUCCUUAUUUUACAUCAGAGGAUUCAUACUGGAGAGAAACCCUAUCCCUGUGAUCAAUGUAGCAAAACCUUCAGUAGGCUUUCAGAUCUUAUUAAUCAUCAACGAAUUCACACUGGAGAGAAGCCUUACCCAUGUAAUCAGUGCAAUAAAAUGUUUAGUCGAAGAUCAGAUCUUGUUAAACAUCACAGAAUUCAUACAGGUGAGAAACCCUAUGAAUGUGAUGAAUGUGGGAAAACCUUUAGUCAGAGCUCCAACCUUAUUCUUCAUCAGAGAAUCCACACUGGAGAGAAACCUUAUCCAUGUAGUGAUUGUACUAAAAGCUUUAGUCGCCGUUCAGAUCUUGUUAAGCAUCAAAGAAUACACACUGGAGAGAAACCAUAUGCAUGUAAUCAGUGUGAUAAAAGUUUUAGUCAAAGCUCAGACCUCACUAAACAUCAGAGAGUACACUCUGGUGAAAAGCCUUAUCAUUGCAAUAGUUGUGAGAAAGCCUUCAGUCAGAGUUCUGACCUUAUUCUUCAUCAGAGAAUUCACACUGGAGAAAAACCAUAUCUAUGCACACAGUGCAGCAAAAGUUUCAGUCAGAACUCAGACCUCAUUAAACACCAGAGAAUCCACACUGGGGAAAAACCAUAUAAAUGUAGUGAGUGCAGGAAGGCUUUCAGUCAGUGCUCAGCUCUUACCCUACACCAGAGAAUCCACACUGGGGAGAAACCAAAUCCAUGUGAUGAGUGUGGCAAAAGCUUUAGUCGGCAUUCUGAUCUCAUUAACCAUCAAAAAAUACACACUGGUGAAAAGCCGUAUAAGUGUGAUGCAUGUGGGAAAGCCUUUAGCACAUGCACAGAUCUUAUUGAACACCAGAAAAUCCAUGCUGGGGAGAAACCCUACCGUUGUGUUCAAUGCAGCAGAAGUUUUAGCCAACUCUCAGAACUUACUAUUCAUGAGGAAGUCCAUUGUGGAGAAGACAGUCAAAAUGUGAUGAAUGUGAGAAAACCUUUAGUGUAUACAUCAACUCUAUUCAGUACCAGAGACACUGUACCAGGAAAAAAUCUAAUGAAUGCUGUUGAUUAUUGAUGAGUAUGAAAAAGGUUUUAAUCAGUGUUCAACUCUUAUGCUACAUUUAAACCACACUGGAUCCGGAUACGUGUGGUGACUCACGCCUGUAAUCCCAACACUUUGGGAGGCAGAUGUGGAAGCAUCAUUUGAGCCCAGGAGUUUGAGGCUGCAGUGAGCUAUGAUUCCACCAUUGUGCUCCAGUCUGGGCAACAGAGCAAGACCCUGUCUAUUA